GAUGAACGCUGGCGGCGUGCCUAAUACAUGCAAGUCGAGCGAACGCACGAGAAUCUUGCUUCUCUGAUGUUAGCGGCGGACGGGUGAGUAACACGUGGAUAACCUACCUAUAAGACUGGGAUCACUUCGGGAAACCGGAGCUAAUACCGGAUAAUAUUUUGAACCGCAUGGUUCAAAAGUGAAAGACGGUCUUGCUGUCACUUAUAGCUUGAUCCGCGCUGCAUUAGCUAGUUGGUAAGGUAACGGCUUACCAAGGCAACGAUGCAUAGCCGACCUGAGAGGGUGAUCGGCCACACUGGAACUGAGACACGGUCCAGACUCCUACGGGAGGCAGCAGUAGGGAAUCUUCCGCAAUGGGCGAAAGCCUGACGGAGCAACGCCGCGUGAGUGAUGAAGGUCUUCGGAUCGUAAAACUCUGUUAUUAGGGAAGAACAUAUGUGUAAGUAACUGUGCACAUCUUGACGGUACCUAAUCAGAAAGCCACGGCUAACUACGUG
rnacentral:rRNA from 1 species